rnacentral:rRNA from 1 species
UACAGAGGUCCCAAGCGUUGUUCGGAUUCAUUGGGCGUAAAGGGUGCGUAGGCGGCGCGGUAAGUCGGGUGUGAAAUCUCGGAGCUUAACUCCGAAACUGCAUUCGAUACUGCCGUGCUUGAGGACUGGAGAGGAGACUGGAAUUUACGGUGUAGCGGUGAAAUGCGUAGAGAUCAUGAGGAAGACCAGUGGCGAAGGCGGGUCUCUGGACAGUUCCUGACACUGAGGCACGAAGGCCAGGGGAGCAAACGGG